AGAGUUUGAUCCUGGCUCAGGAUGAACGCUAGCUACAGGCUUAACACAUGCAAGUCGAGGGGAACGACAUCGAAAGCUUGCUUUUGAUGGGCGUCGACCGGCGCACGGGUGAGUAACGCGUAUCCAACCUGCCCAUCACUUGGGGAUAACCUUGCGAAAGUAAGACUAAUACCCAAUGACGUCUCUAGAAGACAUCUGAAAGAGAUUAAAGAUUUAUCGGUGAUGGAUGGGGAUGCGUCUGAUUAGCUUGUUGGCGGGGUAACGGCCACCAAGGCGACGAAUCAGUAGGGGUUCUGAGAGGAAGGUCCCCCACAUUGGAACUCGAGACACGGUCCAAACUCUACGGAGGCA
rnacentral:rRNA from 1 species